UAAUCAAACUUGGAGAUAGCUCGUACUCCCCGAAAUGCAUUUAGGUGCAGCCUUGUGGGUUACUGAUGUGAGGUAGAGCGACUGAUAAGAUGCGAGGGCUUCACCGCCUAUCAAGUCUUGACAAACUCCGAAUGCGCAUCAGUUUUACCUCAGGAGUGAGGGCAUGGGUGCUAAGGUCCGUGCCCGAGAGGAGAAGAAUCCGGACCACCUGCUAAGGUCCCGAAAUGACAGCUAAGUUAAACUAACGAAGUCUGACUGCUAAGACAGCUAGGAUGUUGGCUUGGAAGCAGCCAUUCAUUUAAAGAGUGCGUAACAGCUCACUAGUCGAGGAGUCUGGCGUGGAUAAUAAUCGGGUAUUAAGUUGUCUACCGAAGCAGUGGGAUCAUUGAAAUGAUCGGUAGGGGAGCAUUCCAGUCAGCGUCGAAGGCGUACCGCGAGGUAUUCUGGAGCGUCUGGAAAAGCAAAUGUAGGUAUAAGUAACGAUAAAGGGGGCGGGAAACCCCCUCGCCGAAAGACUAAGGUUUCCUGAUCAACGCUAAUCGGAUCAGGGUAAGUCGGGUCCUAAGGCUCAGCCGAAGGGCGAUGCCGAUGGCAGAAACGGUUAAUAUUCCGUUACUACCUCCAGGAGUGAUGUGGAGACGCAGUAGUGACAAUGCCGCCAUCUGACGGAAUAGAUGGUUGAAGGGUGUAGAUGUUGAUCUUGGCAGGCAAAUCCACCAUGAGAAUCGAACCUGAUAGUAUGCCGCGUCCCUCGGGACAAGGCAAUAGUGCAUGUAAUCAUGCUGCCAAGAAAAUCCGCUAAACUAAAUCCUGUAGGUACCCGUACCGUAAACGGACACACGUAGUCGGGAUGAAUAUUCUAAGGCGCUUGAGUGAUUCACGGUUAAGGAACUAGGCAAACUGACCCUGUAACUUCGGGAUAAAGGGUCCCUACCCGGUGACGGGAGGGCGCAGAGAAUAGGUCCAGGCAACUGUUUAACAAAAACACAGGGCUGUGCUAAAUCGAAAGAUCCUGUAUACAGCCUGACACCUGCCCGGUGCUGGAAGGUUAAGAGGAGACGUCAUCGUUGAGAGAAGCGUUGAAUUGAAGCCCCAGUAAACGGCGGCCGUAACAAUAACGGUCCUAAGGUAGCGAAAUUCCUUGUCGGGUAAGUUCCGACCUGCACGAAUGGUGUAAUGAUCUGGACACUGUCUCAACCGUGAGCUCGGUGAAAUUGUAGUAUCGGUGAAGAUGCCGAUUACCCGCGAUGGGACGAAAAGACCCCGUGAACCUUUACUAUAGCUUAUCAUUGAAUCUGGGCACGUGAUGUGUAGGAUAGGUCGGAGGCUUUGAAGCAGGUACGCCAGUAUUUGUGGAGCCGCUGUUGAAAUACGACCCUUUAUUUGUUUGGAUUCUAACCCGUGGAUACGGGGACAUUGAUUGGUGGGUAGUUUGACUGGGGUGGUCGCCUCCAAAAGCGUAACGGAGGCUUCUAAAGGUGCCCUCACGGCGAUUGGUAACCGCCGUUAGAGUGUAAUGGCAUAAGGGCGCUUGACUGGGAGACUGACAAGUCGAUCAGGUAGGAAACUAGAGCAUAGUGAUCCGGUGUUUCCGUAUGGAA
rnacentral:rRNA from 1 species